CUCAAGGUCUGAGUGGAAGCAAAGGAGAGAGAGGACCCAUGGGCGUUCCAGGUGCUCAAGGUCUGAGUGGACGCAAAGGAGAGAGAGGACCCAUGGGCGUUCCAGGUGCUCAAGGUCUGAGUGGACGCAAAGGAGACAAGGGCUUCCAAAGAAGAGGUGGACCCAAAGGAGACAUUGUAGACUCCGACGUGGAGGGGCUAGCUGGUGAGAAAGGGGAAAAGGUAUGUCUGGAGAAUCUGGCACUAAAGGACAGCACAGAGUGAGGAGACCUUGGACAUAAUGGUCCAACAUGGAGACUCUGGGAAGCCAGGUGAUGUAGGACCCCCUGGACUGCCUGGUCCUCGGGGGUUGAAAGGCAUGAGCGGUGUGCAUGGCAGGCCGGGUAUUGAGGGUCCACCGGGACAAGAUAUAUCUGACCAGCAUAUUAUUGAUGUGGUAUAAAGAAUGUUGCAAGAGAGGCUGGCAGCAGUAGCAGUGAGCACUAAAAGGGCUGUGCCGUUGAACAACCGGCUAUUCUGGUCCUCCGUGAUUAAUGGUUCCACAAGGACCACAUGAUUUGCCUGGUUCCCGAAGAAUUCCUGGAACGAUGGGAGCUGACAGACGGAUUGGAAACACAUGUCUUAAAGCUGGAUGUCCCCUCAUCGCAGCCGGAGAGUGAAUGAGUCGCUCAGAAAGGAGGAGGUCUUAUAUGUGAGUUCUGCAGGGGGUGGGGCUUCAGCUCCCCUCUGCAGUGUCGCCAGCAACUUCUCACAGAUCUAUCCUACAUGUAUGAUGUGUCUACUCGACAUAUAAUGAGCAUCAUACAGUGGACAAACACACAGGUAAGUAUAAAUGUGUUUGGCUGAUGUAAUCAAAUGUUUGCUUUGAUCUUUUUGCCUCAGACUCCUGUGUAGUGCGUUUGAGCCCCUCACCACACUGACAUGAGUGCCCCUUGCACCCACGUUCCUCGACAACAGAGUCCCCAGGGAGUCCACAACCGGCGGGACGCCACCCAAACGACGGACUGGAGGCACAGGCGUGUUAGGAUUGGGGUUAGGAUUAGGAUUGGGGUAAGGGAAUGCACAGUCCGUCUGCAGCCCGUCAGGGCGACGCCCACACCAAUCGCAGAACCCCCCGAGAACCCCGAAGUCGUACAACGCCAAACUCCUGGGUGUGCAGUUGGUGGCAAACACGGCCGAAUUAAUCUGCUGUCCAACGACGCGUUUCGGUCCCUUAGACCUCAUCAGGUUGGCUACUAAUGCAGGAUGUAUGCCAUCUUUUUAACUGCGUUACCUCAUGCCUACUGGGACACUUCUAAUUCCCUAGUAGGUGGAGCACUUCUAAUCUCCUGAGGCCCUUUAAUGACGACUGCUCUGUUUUCUCUUCGCAGCUGGAUGUCCCCUCAUCGCAGCCGGAGAGUGAAUGAGUCGCUCAGAAAGGAGGAGGUCUUAUAUGUGAGUUCUGCAGGGGGUGGGGCUUCAGCUCCCCUCUGCAGUGUCGCCAGCAACUUCUCACAGAUCUAUCCUACAUGUAUGAUGUGUCUACUCGACAUAUAAUGAGCAUCAUACAGUGGACAAACACACAGGUAAGUAUAAAUGUGUUUGGCUGAUGUAAUCAAAUGUUUGCUUUGAUCUUUUUGCCUCAGACUCCUGUGUAGUGCGUUUGAGCCCCUCACCACACUGACAUGAGUGCCCCUUGCACCCACGUUCCUCGACAACAGAGUCCCCAGGGAGUCCACAACCGGCGGGACGCCACCCAAACGACGGACUGGAGGCACAGGCGUGUUAGGAUUGGGGUUAGGAUUAGGAUUGGGGUAAGGGAAUGCACAGUCCGUCUGCAGCCCGUCAGGGCGACGCCCACACCAAUCGCAGAACCCCCCGAGAACCCCGAAGUCGUACAACGCCAAACUCCUGGGUGUGCAGUUGGUGGCAAACACGGCCGAAUUAAUCUGCUGUCCAACGACGCGUUUCGGUCCCUUAGACCUCAUCAGGUUGGCUACUAAUGCAGGAUGUAUGCCAUCUUUUUAACUGCGUUACCUCAUGCCUACUGGGACACUUCUAAUUCCCUAGUAGGUGGAGCACUUCUAAUCUCCUGAGGCCCUUUAAUGACGACUGCUCUGUUUUCUCUUCGCAGCUGGAUGUCCCCUCAUCGCAGCCGGAGAGUGAAUGAGUCGCUCAGAAAGGAGGAGGUCUUAUAUGUGAGUUCUGCAGGGGGUGGGGCUUCAGCUCCCCUCUGCAGUGUCGCCAGCAACUUCUCACAGAUCUAUCCUACAUGUAUGAUGUGUCUACUCGACAUAUAAUGAGCAUCAUACAGUGGACAAACACACAGGUAAGUAUAAAUGUGUUUGGCUGAUGUAAUCAAAUGUUUGCUUUGAUCUUUUUGCCUCAGACUCCUGUGUAGUGCGUUUGAGCCCCUCACCACACUGACAUGAGUGCCCCUUGCACCCACGUUCCUCGACAACAGAGUCCCCAGGGAGUCCACAACCGGCGGGACGCCACCCAAACGACGGACUGGAGGCACAGGCGUGUUAGGAUUGGGGUUAGGAUUAGGAUUGGGGUAAGGGAAUGCACAGUCCGUCUGCAGCCCGUCAGGGCGACGCCCACACCAAUCGCAGAACCCCCCGAGAACCCCGAAGUCGUACAACGCCAAACUCCUGGGUGUGCAGUUGGUGGCAAACACGGCCGAAUUAAUCUGCUGUCCAACGACGCGUUUCGGUCCCUUAGACCUCAUCAGGUUGGCUACUAAUGCAGGAUGUAUGCCAUCUUUUUAACUGCGUUACCUCAUGCCUACUGGGACACUUCUAAUUCCCUAGUAGGUGGAGCACUUCUAAUCUCCUGAGGCCCUUUAAUGACGACUGCUCUGUUUUCUCUUCGCAGCUGGAUGUCCCCUCAUCGCAGCCGGAGAGUGAAUGAGUCGCUCAGAAAGGAGGAGGUCUUAUAUGUGAGUUC